rnacentral:rRNA from 1 species
AGAGUUUGAUCAUGGCUCAGAACGAACGCUGGCGGCAGGCCUAACACAUGCAAGUCGAACGCGCGUAGCAAUACGCGAGUGGCGCACGGGUGAGUAACACGUGGGAACCAACCCUGAGGUUCGGAAUAACCGCGGGAAACUGCGGCUAAUACCGGAUAUCCCCUACGGGGGAAAGAUUUAUCGCCUUGGGACGGGCCCGCGUCCGAUUAGCUAGUUGGUGAGGUAAUGGCUCACCAAGGCUCCGAUCGGUAGCUGGUCUGAGAGGACGACCAGCCACACUGGAACUGAGACACGGUCCAGACUCCUACGGGAGGCAGCAGUGGGGAAUAUUGGGCAAUGGGGGCAACUCUGACCCAGCCAUGCCGCGUGGGUGACGAAGGUCUUCGGAUUGUAAAGCCCUUUCGGCGGGGACGAUGAUGACGGUACCCGCAGAAGAGC